GAUGGGCGGGGAGCCCUGAGCCUCCGCGCCUGCCUGGGCGCCCUCCUCCCGCCCCCAGCCGCCCGCCGGACACCCAGGCCUCGCCGAGCCGGGCGCCGGGCGCUCGAGGCCGGGGAGUCGGCGUCCCCGGGGGUGACCCCCCAACAAGGGUGCCCGACGGCCGUCCGGGCGGGGAGCCCUCCCCGGGGCGGGGCCAUGCCGCCUCGUGCCCGCUGAGGCCCCCACCAUGGCCCGCUCGCUGACCUGGUGCUGCUGCCCCUGCUGCCUGACCGAGGAUGAGAAGGCGGCGGCCCGGAUCGACCAGGACAUCAACAGGAUCCUGCUGGAGCAGAAGAAGAGGGACCGCGGGGAGCUGAAGCUGCUGCUUCUGGGCCCCGGCGAGAGCGGGAAGAGCACGUUCAUCAAGCAGAUGCGCAUUAUCCACGGGGCGGGCUACUCGGAGGAGGAGCGCAAGGGCUUCCGGCCCCUCAUCUACCAGAACAUCUUCGUGUCCAUGCAGGCCAUGAUCGAGGCCAUGGACUGGCUGCAGAUUCCGUUCAGCAGGCCCGAGAGCCGGCACCACGCCAGUCUGGUCAUGAGCCAGGACCCCUACAAAGUGACCACUUUCGAGAAGCACUGCGCCGUGGCCAUGCAGUGGCUGUGGAGGGACGCCGGCAUCCGGGCCUGUUACGAGCGUCGCCGGGAGUUUCACUUGCUGGACUCGGCCGUGUACUACCUGUCCCACCUGGAGCGCAUCACUGAGGAGGACUACAUCCCCACGGCACAGGACGUGCUCCGGAGCCGCAUGCCCACCACCGGCAUCAAUGAGUACUGCUUCUCCGUGCAGAAGACCAAUCUGCGGAUCGUGGACGUCGGGGGCCAGAGGUCAGAACGGAAGAAGUGGAUCCACUGCUUUGAGAACGUGAUCGCCCUCAUCUACCUGGCCUCGCUCAGCGAGUAUGACCAGUGUCUGGAGGAGAACAACCAAGAGAACCGAAUGAAGGAGAGCCUGGCCCUGUUCGGCACUAUCCUGGAACUGCCCUGGUUCAAAAGCACGUCCGUCAUCCUCUUCCUCAACAAAACUGACAUCCUAGAGGAGAAGAUCUCCACCUCCCACUUGGCUACCUACUUCCCCAGUUUCCAGGCUAACAGGUUCGUGCAGCGUCUCGGCAAUUGCGCGUGAAUCGGGACAGGACGACCUCACUGAGCGGGUUUGGGGGCGAGCCGUCAGCGCAGACGGAGGGGCGAGGGCCUGGCCGCCUAGAGAGGAUUACGGGGGAGUCGGGCACAGGAGGCUGAAAACAACAGACGUGGAUCCCCAUCAGUUAAGGCGACCAGAAGUCUGAAAUGAAGCCGGGGUGGCUUCUUUCCGGAGGCUCUGAGGUCGGAUCUGUCCCUGGUGUCUCUUAGUUUCUGGCGUUACCUGCAAUCCUCGGUGUCCCUGGACAUAUGGAGACAUCCCUCCAAUCUGCCUCUGUUGUCACAUGGCCUCUCUCUCUCUGUGUCUUUCCUCUUCUUAUAAAGACGCCAGUCAUUGGCUGUAGGGCCCCCCCCAAUCCAGUGUGACCCCAUUUCAAGCUAACCAAUUACAUCUGAAAAGACCUUAUUUCCAAAUGAGGUGACUUGGUCAUAUUCUGAGGUUCUGGGGGGACGUGGAUCUGGGGGAACACUGUUCACCCCAGUACGCAAGCAACGUGGCAGAUGAAGGUCUUAAGCCCGGUGACAUCACCACGGGCGUGACGCUUGGCCUUGUCAGGUCUCGGAGCCCACGAGGCCAAUCUCAGCCAAUCAUCCCCAGAAGACUUAGGGGCCCGAGAGACAGAUGGCAACUUGGCCCAGCAUGGCGGACGCCCCUUGUUCCCUUCCCGGCUGGGCGGCCUUGGGAAUGGGAACGUGGUCUGGAGAGUCGGGGGAGGGGGACAAAGUGGAUAGUUUUGAGGGACUGUUUUCCUUCAUGUCAAAGGAAACGCUCAUGACUCACCUUUUUCUCCCAGCCAAAGGAGUACUCUGCCGACUUCCGGGUCUCAGUCCUUGCCUGUUCUGUACUGAGUAACGUUUGUGAUUAUAACAGCGGCUAAAGUGUCUAACACUGCCAGAGGCCCCCUCACGUAUGGACUCAUUUGAUCCUCGUGAAAAAGUCCUGUGCAGUGGAGCUCUUCCUCCUCACCGCUAUAGAGGUGGGGAAACUGAGGCACAGAGAGGUGCAACCACUUGCCAAAAGUCACACGGCCAGCGAGUGGCAGAGGCAGGAUUCGAACCCAGGCUGUCUGGAUCCGGAGCCACCAGCCUUAACCACUGGGUACCCUGCCUGUCUGGAAGAAUCAGAAUAACAUUCUGAUUAUGGAGCACAGAGCCCUCCACAUGAUUGCAUUGAAUCCUCACAACUCCGCGAGGCUUGGGACUGUUAGGAUCCCCAUUUUACAAAUGGGGAAACUGAGGCUCACAGCGCUAACAUGGACUAACAUAUAAGGCAACCCGACGAGUAAGUAGGAGAACCAGGGCUUGGGUUCUAGAAGCCCUUGCCCACAUUGUGCUUGGGAGAGAGAGAGAGAGACUGAGCAUGGCAGGUGCCUCACCAGGGUGGCCACCCCUCCCCUUCUCUUGGCCUCGGUUUACCCCUCUGCACCUGUCAGGAAUGUCUUUCUCUGCAGCUCUAGGCUCCCAUCCCCUUAGCUGCAAGCCCAGCCAAGUGAGAGGGUUUCCUUCUUUAACACGGUUCUGCCUAAAGUCCCAGGGCCAAGUCUUAUUGGUCCAUUCCAGGUCAUGUGACUCACCGGAGUCCAUCCUCGAUGAUCCCAUUGGCUGGACCUGAUAGUCAUGUGACCCUCUCGAAAAACCAAAGAUGGCGCCGGCCUGCACCAUGGCGCGUGGUUCCUGGGGCGCCUGCGGCCCCGUUGAUGUGCAUGCGUGGAGCAGGGUCUCCAGAUCCCCUCCUUGACCCAGGAGACUCUCCCUCCUGCCCCACGAGCCCCGUGCCCUGACUGCCCAUUCCCCCCCCCCC